rnacentral:sRNA from 1 species
CAGACCAUGAAGUGGUGGUUUCUCUCAGCCUAAGGCUGGGAGAUAGAAGCAUCCCAGUAUUGCUGGCAGCAUCUCAGGGAGAGCUGGGAGAAGUGAGCUUGUCUGAGAGCCAUGGGCGCGGCUUGUGAUACUUUUGACCAGUGGAAUGCUGUGCCUUCAGGGUUCUCGGGCUGCCACGCCGAUGGCGAGAGCGGCAGCCCAUCCAGCAGCAGCAGCGGCUCUCUGGCCCUGGGCAGCGCUGCUAUUCGUGGCCAGGCCGAGGUCACCCAGGACCCUGCCCCGCUCCUGAGAGGCUUCCGGAAGCCAGCCACAGGUCAAAUGAAGCGCAACAGAGGGGAAGAAAUAGAUUUUGAGACACCUGGGUCCAUUCUUGUCAACACCAACCUCCGUGCCCUGAUCAACUCUCGGACCUUCCAUGCCUUACCAUCACACUUCCAGCAGCAGCUCCUCUUCCUCCUGCCUGAAGUAGACAGACAGGUGCACAUGGGCAGCCUCCCCUUUGCCUCUCUCUGGGUGGGCUUCUGUUCUCUUAUAAGUUUAUUUAUUAGGAUUUUUUCCCCCCUUGAUCCUUCUAGGUGGGGACAGAUGGCCUGUUGCGUCUCAGCAGCAGUGCACUAAAU